GACGAACGCUGGCGGCGUGCCUAAUACAUGCAAGUAGAACGCACAGUUUAUACCGUAGCUUGCUACACCAUAAACUGUGAGUUGCGAACGGGUGAGUAACGCGUAGGUAACCUGCCUGGUAGCGGGGGAUAACUAUUGGAAACGAUAGCUAAUACCGCAUAAUAUUGAUUAUUGCAUGAUAAUUGAUUGAAAGAUGCUAUUGCAUCACUACCAGAUGGACCUGCGUUGUAUUAGCUAGUAGGUGAGGUAACGGCUCACCUAGGCGACGAUACAUAGCCGACCUGAGAGGGUGCUCGGCCACACUGGGACUGAGACACGGCCCAGACUCCUACGGGAGGCAGCAGUAGGGAAUCUUCGGCAAUAGACGAAAGUCUGACCGAGCAACGCCGCGUGAGUGAAGAAGGUUUUCGGAUCGUAAAGCUCUGUUGUAAGAGAAGAACGGGUGUGAGAGUGGAAAGUUCACACUGUGACGGUAUCUUACCAGAAAGGGACGGCUAACUACGUG
rnacentral:rRNA from 1 species